rnacentral:tRNA from 1 species
ACCGAAAUAGCUCAGUUGGGAGAGCGUUAGACUAUAGAUCGAAAAGUCCCUGGUUUGAUCCCGGGUUAUUUUU